UUGAUCCUGGCUCAGGAUGAACGCUAGCUACAGGCUUAACACAUGCAAGUCGAGGGGCAGCAUGAACUUAGCUUGCUAAGUUUGAUGGCGACCGGCGCACGGGUGAGUAACGCGUAUCCAACCUACCCUUGUCCAUCGGAUAACCCGUCGAAAGGCGGCCUAACACGAUAUGCGGUUCACCGCAGGCAUCUAACGUGAACGAAAUGUGAAGGAGAAGGAUGGGGAUGCGUCUGAUUAGCUUGUUGGCGGGGUAACGGCCCACCAAGGCGACGACCAGUAGGGGUUCUGAGAGGAAGGUCCCCCACAUUGGAACUGAGACACGGUCCAAACUCCUACGGGAGGCAGCAGUGAGGAAUAUUGGUCAAUGGACGAGAGUCUGAACCAGCCAAGUAGCGUGCAGGAUGACGGCCCUAUGGGUUGUAAACUGCUUUUAUAGGGGGAUAAAGUGUGCCACGUGUGGCAUAUUGCAGGUACCCUAUGAAUAAGGACCGGCUAAUUCCGUGCCAGCAGCCGCGGUAAUACGGAAGGUCCGGGCGUUAUCCGGAUUUAUUGGGUUUAAAGGGAGCGUAGGCCGUCUUAUAAGCGUGUUGUGAAAUGUCGGGGCUCAACCUGGGCAUUGCAGCGCGAACUGUGAGACUUGAGUGCGCAGGAAGUAGGCGGAAUUCGUCGUGUAGCGGUGAAAUGCUUAGAUAUGACGAAGAACUCCGAUUGCGAAGGCAGCCUGCUGUAGCGCAACUGACGCUGAAGCUCGAAAGCGUGGGUAUCGAACAGGAUUAGAUACCCUGGUAGUCCACGCGGUAAACGAUGGAUGCUCGCUGUUUGCGUCUGACGUAAGCGGCCAAGCGAAAGCGUUAAGCAUCCCACCUGGGGAGUACGCCGGCAACGGUG
rnacentral:rRNA from 1 species